ACUGGGUUAGGCUGGGCUGGGCUGAGCUGAGUAGGGCUACAUUGGGUUGAGCUGGGCAGGACUGGCCUGGGCUGAGCUGGAUUAACUGGGUGGAGUGGGCUGUGGGGUCAUCCUGGCCAACUUUGCUCAGUCAGCUAAACUGAACUAAAAUGAACCAUGUGGACGCAGCUCAGCCUCCAUCCACGGCCCAUCCGUCUACCCCUUGGGCUCCUGUUGCACAAGUGCUACCAAUGCCACUUCUGUGACGCUGGGCUGCCUGGUCACGGGCUACUUCCCGGGGCCAGUGACCAUGACCUGGGACACAGCGUCCCUGAACAGGAGCACCCUGACCUUCCCUGCCGUCCAAAACUUGAACUCCAGCCUCUACACCACCAGCAGCCAGGUGACAGUCUCGGGCGAGUGGUCCAAGCAGAAGUUCACCUGCAGUGUGGCUCACACUGCGUCCAACACCACCACCACCAAGGCCGUCACUGGGUGCACCAAGAGCUUCCCCGACCCCUCUGUGAAGCUCUUUUACUCCUCGUGCGACCCCCGUGGUGACACCCAUACCACCAUCCAGCUCCUGUGCCUCAUCUCCGGCUAUACCCCAGGCAAAGUCAAGGUCACCUGGCUGGUGGACGGGCGUGAGGCCACAGACGUGUUCCCACACACCGGCCCCGAAAGGGUGGAGGGCAAACUGGCCUCCACUUACAGCGAGCUCAACAUCACGCAGGGCCAGUGGGUGUCCCAAAUCACCUACACCUGCCGGGUCACCUAUUAUGGCUUCACCUACGACAACCACGCCCGCAGGUGCACAGCCGAGUCUGAGCCCCGUGGCGUGAGCGCCUACCUGAGCCCACCCACACCCCUAGACCUGUACGUCAACAAGUCACCCAAGAUCACCUGCCUGGUGGUGGACCUGGCCAGCGACAAGGACAUGACACUGACCUGGUCCACGGAGAACAAGGAUCUAGUCUAUCCAGACCCACCCAUCGCCAAGACUCAGUUCAACGGGACGGUCACCGUCACGUCCACCCUGCCGGUGGACGUCAGUGACUGGAUUGAGGGCGAGACCUACUACUGCAAAGUGGCCCACCCACACCUGCCCAAGGAGAUCCUGCGCUCCAUCUCCAAGGGCCCUGGCAAGCGUAUGAUUCCCGAGGUCUACGUGUUCCCGCCACCCAAGGAGGAGCUCAAGACCAAGGGCGAGGUCACCCUCACCUGCCUGAUCCAGAACUUCUUCCCCGCGGAUAUCUCCGUGCGGUGGCUGCGGAACGGCGCCCCGAUGCAGGCGGACCAGCACACCAGCACGGGGCCCCACAGGGUCCGCGGCUCCAGCCCCGCCUUCUUCGUCUACAGCCACCUGGCGGUCAAGCAGGCCGACUGGCAGCAGAGGAGCACGUUCACCUGCCAGGUGGUCCACGAGGCCCUGUCCGGCUCAAGGACCCUCGAGAGAUCGAUGUCCAUCGACCUUGAGCUGGCCCUGGAGGACCUGUGCGCAGAGGCGGCCGAGAGCGAGGAGCUGCAGGGGACACGGACCAGCCUCCUCACCUUCGUGGCGCUCUUCCUGCUCAGCGUGAGCUACAGCGCUACCGUCACCCUCUGCAAGGCGAAGUGGGUCCUGGCCGCCGUCCGGCAGGAACAGCCGCAGGCUUCCCGCGACUACACGGACGUUGCACAGCCCUGCCUUUCCCCUCCUCGUGUGAGCAGCCCCGAGGCGGCCAGCUCUACCCUGGGCCGGAGGAAGGAGCAGAACAGCCCCCAAGGGGCCAGAGUCAGGGGCCCAGCGACCAGCACACGGGCGCCCAGAGGCCCCAGCUCAGCCCCAAGGGCGAAGUCACCACCCACUGAGCUCACGCAGACAGGCCAGUCCUCAGGCCCCAUCCCACCAGCCAGCCCGGACAUCCUGAUGAGCAAGCGAGAGCUGUCUGGGGCUGGCCGCUACCGUCCUCGAGAAGAAAGCUGGAAGCCGCGAAGGCACUGCCUCAACCACUCACCCCGAGUCCCACUCCUCCAGCUCCCUCAGGGCGGCUCCAGGGGACACCGGGGCUUCAGACCCCCGGAAGGUGCAGGGCCCCAGGACCUCACGGGCCGGCAAGAGGAAGGAUCCUCAGGGCCAGUCAACCACGAUGCAGGCGCCUCUGGUGCUCAUGAGAGCGGUGGGCGGGGGGUGGACCAGAGUCCGGCGGCCCGGGCCGAAGUGCCCCUCGUGGGCGAUGCUGUGGGUGUGCCAGGGUCCGUGAUAAAACGCCAGAAGUCCCUUGACCAAGCCAGCCUUGAGCAGGUGGGUCCCAGAAGCUAUUCAGGCCUCAUCUCCUCCACAGCCAGGCCAUACUACGGCCUCCUGGGACGGGAGGAUGGAGGACAGGUACCAAUACAGAGACAAGAGGGAGAAAGGCAGACGGCCAUUGACCCAGAAGACACAGAGCAGGAUGCUGUACACAUGGGCUGA